rnacentral:rRNA from 1 species
CUAGAGUUUGAUCAUGGCUCAGAGCGAACGCUGGCGGCAGGCUUAACACAUGCAAGUCGAGCGGGCGUAGCAAUACGUCAGCGGCAGACGGGUGAGUAACGCGUGGGAACGUACCUUUUGGUUCGGAACAACACAGGGAAACUUGUGCUAAUACCGGAUAAGCCCUUACGGGGAAAGAUUUAUCGCCGAAAGAUCGGCCCGCGUCUGAUUAGCUAGUUGGUGAGGUAAUGGCUCACCAAGGCGACGAUCAGUAGCUGGUCUGAGAGGAUGAUCAGCCACAUUGGGACUGAGACACGGCCCAAACUCCUACGGGAGGCAGCAGUGGGGAAUAUUGGACAAUGGGCGCAAGCCUGAUCCAGCCAUGCCGCGUGAGUGAUGAAGGCCCUAGGGUUGUAAAGCUCUUUUGUGCGGGAAGAUAAUGACGGUACCGCAAGAAUAAGCCCCGGCUAACUUCGUGCCAGCAGCCGCGGUAAUGCCCAAUCGCC